UAGGGAAUCUUCCACAAUGGACGCAAGUCUGAUGGAGCAACGCCGCGUGAGUGAAGAAGGCUUUCGGGUCGUAAAACUCUGUUGUUGGAGAAGAAUGGUCGGCAGAGUAACUGUUGUCGGCGUGACGGUAUCCAACCAGAAAGCCACGGCUAACUACGUGCCAGCAGCCGCGGUAAUACGUAGGUGGCAAGCGUUAUCCGGAUUUAUUGGGCGUAAAGCGAGCGCAGGCGGUUUUUAAGUCUGAUGUGAAAGCCCUCGGCUUAACCGAGGAAGCGCAUCGGAAACUGGGAAACUUGAGUGCAGAAGAGGACAGUGGAACUCCAUGUGUAGCGGUGAAAUGCGUAGAUAUAUGGAAGAACACCAGUGGCGAAGGCGGCUGUCUGGUCUGUAACUGACGCUGAGGCUCGAAAGCAUGGGUAGCGAACAGGAUUAGAUACCCUGGUAGUCCAUGCCGUAAACGAUGAAUGCUAGGUGUUGGAGGGUUUCCGCCCUUCAGUGCCGCAGCUAACGCAUUAAGCAUUCCGCCUGGGGAGUACGACCGCAAGGUUGAA
rnacentral:rRNA from 1 species